rnacentral:rRNA from 1 species
AACCUUUACACUGCACGACAGUGCGAUAGGGGGACUCCGAGUGCGAGGGCAUAUAGCCCUCGCUUUUCUGAACCGUAAGGUGGUUCAGGAACAAGGACUGGGCAAGACCGGUGCCAGCCGCCGCGGUAAUACCGGCAGUCCGAGUGAUGGCCGAUAUUAUUGGGCCUAAAGCGUCCGUAGCCGGCCGGACAAGUCCGUUGGGAAAUCCACGCGCUCAACGCGUCGGCGUCCAGCGGAAACUGUCCGGCUUGGGGCCGGAAGACCUGAGGGGUACGUCCGGGGUAGGAGUGAAAUCCCGUAAUCCUGGACGGACCACCGAUGGCGAAAGCACCUUGAGAGGACGGACCCGACGGUGAGGGACGAAAGCCAGGGUCUCGAACCGGAUUAGAUACCCGGGUAGUCCUGGCCGUAAACGAUGUUCGCUAGGUGUGGCGCAGGCUACGAGCCUGCGCUGUGCCGUAGGGAAGCCGUGAAGCGAACCGCCUGGGAAGUACGUCUGCAAGGAUGAAACUUAA